rnacentral:rRNA from 1 species
AUUGAACGCUGGCGGUAUGCUUUACACAUGCAAGUCGAACGGUAGAGGGGCAACCCUUGAGAGUGGCGAACGGGUGAGUAAUACAUCGGAACGUGCCCAGCCGUGGGGGAUAACGUAGCGAAAGCUACGCUAAUACCGCAUACGACCUGAGGGUGAGAGCGGGGGACCUGCAAGGGCCUCGCGCGAUUGGAGCGGCCGAUGGCAGAUUAGGUAGUUGGUGAGGUAAAGGCUCACCAAGCCGACGAUCUAUAGCUGGUCUGAGAGGACGACCAGCCACACUGGGACUGAGACACGGCCCAGACUCCUACGGGAGGCAGCAGUGGGGAAUUUUGGACAAUGGGCGCAAGCCUGAUCCAGCCAUACCGCGUGCAGGAAGAAGGCCUUCGGGUUGUAAACUGCUUUUGUCAGGGAAGAAAUCUUCUGGGCUAAUACCCUGGGAGGAUGACGGUACCUGAAGAAUAAGCACCGGCUAACUACGUGCCAGCCGCCGCCGUAACAC